rnacentral:tRNA from 2 species
GUGAAUAUAACUCAAUUGGUUAGAGUGUUAGAUUGUGAUUCUAAAAGUACGGGUUCAAGUCCCGUUAUUUGCC